rnacentral:lncRNA from 1 species
GGCAAGGCCCCUCUGAUCGUUUGAAGUGGAGAAGAACGUGGCCAUCCGAUCCUCUUCAGAUGCAAAUGCAGUCUAUCAUCAGAAGGGUACCACUGUCGACGCUUGGGAAGGUUCAAGUUCUGUCUUGAGUGUGUCGAACUGAUGAAAUAGAGGAUUGGAAACUGUCAGUAAAUCCUUCCUACUAUUGUCAGAAAAUGAUUUCAUCUUGCUCCUAAAUUCAAAUCACAGUAUCAAAUAUCAUAAUUAGGCACGGCGCGCAAGUGGAACUGUACUGAAUAAGGCAGAAGUGUGAUAUGAGUGGACUAGGCAAGAAUAACUGCAAAAUUCAUUCAUAAAAUUACAAGAGAAAAGUGGAAGAAUUCUACUGCAAGUGAAGUAAAUCAAAAGGAAGGAAUAGAUCCAACAGAAUUGAAAGCAUGCAUCUACCUGGGAGAACAAAGUUCAGAUCACCGUACUUCCUUAACACACAAUCCCUCAGUCUUCUUUCU